AUAUUUUAGAUGAGAAUGAGAUUUCAUCGAGGGGUGUGAAAAAUUUUUGUGGAUGCGAGAUGGCAUGUGGAGAGGGUGCGAGACAAGUUCUAUAGCAUCCCACCGCUAACUAUUUAAAGGGGGCUGCGUCGAACAUUUGAUUCAUUUAGUUUUUCAAUUCCUCCUUUCUUUCUAACAUCCUCUCCCUAUUGUCCAAUUAAUCCCUUCCUUCUCUUAUUAGGAUAAGUCUAAAAAUACUAAGGAUAAGUUUGAUUUUAGGACAAGUGCCUAGGAAGAGAUAUAAGGAAGACAAGGAGAGAAGAAAGGUAG
rnacentral:lncRNA from 1 species